rnacentral:rRNA from 1 species
GACGAACGCUGGCGGCGUGCCUAACACAUGCAAGUCGAGCGAUGAAACUUCCUUCGGGAAGUGGAUUAGCGGCGGACGGGUGAGUAUCACGUGGGCAACCUGCCUCAAAGAGGGGAAUAGCUUUCCGAAAGGAAGAUUAAUACCGCAUAAUAUUAGAAAUUCGCAUGAAUUUCUAAUCAAAGGAGUAAUCCGCUUUGAGAUGGGCCCGCGGCGCAUUAGCUAGUUGGUGGGGUAAUAGCCUACCAAGGCAACGAUGCGUAGCCGACCUGAGAGGGUGAACGGCCACAUUGGAACUGAGAUACGGUCCAGACUCCUACGGGAGGCAGCAGUGGGGAAUAUUGCGCAAUGGGGGAAACCCUGACGCAGCAACGCCGCGUGAGCGAUGAAGGUCUUCGGAUCGUAAAGCUCUGUCUUUUGGGACGAUAAUGACGGUACCAAAAGAGGAAGCCACGGCUAACUACGUGCCAGCAGCCGCGGUAAUACGUAGGUGGCGAGCGUUGUCCGGAAUUACUGGGCGUAAAGGGUGCGUAGGCGGAUAUUUAAGUCAGAUGUGAAAUACCCAGGCUUAACUUGGGAGUUGCAUUUGAAACUGGAUAUCUAGAGUGCAGGAGAGGAAAGCGGAAUUCCUAGUGUAGCGGUGAAAUGCGUAGAGAUUAGGAAGAACACCAGUGGCGAAGGCGGCUUUCUGGACUGUAACUGACGCUGAGGCACGAAAGCGUGGGUAGCAAACAGGAUUAGAUACCCUGGUAGUCCACGCUGUAAACGAUGAAUACUAGGUGUAGGAGGUGUCAUGCCUUCUGUGCCGCAGUUAACACAAUAAGUAUUCCGCCUGGGGAGUACGGUCGCAAGAUUAA